GAUAAACGCUGGCGGCGUGCCUAACACAUGCAAGUCGAACGCGCUUUCUCGCAUGCUUCGUUAAGAAGCGAGCAAGAGAGCGAGUGGCGGACGGGUGAGUAACACAUGGGUCACCUACCUUUCAGUGAGGAAUACCGACGAGAAAUCGUCGACAAGACCGCAUAUGCUCUUUGCAAAGAGAGCAAAGUCCUUUCGCAAGAAGGGACGCUGGAAGAUGGGCCNGUGGCCGAUUAGCUAGUUGGUAGGGUAAUGGCCUACCAAGGCGACGAUCGGUAGCUGGUCUGAGAGGACGAUCAGCCACACUGGGAUUGAGAACGGCCCAGACUCCUACGGGA
rnacentral:rRNA from 1 species